GGCAACGGUGGACAACAGAACAGCAGCACACCAAAUGUUCCUUUGACAAGAAGCAUGGAGAGAAAUUAAAAAGUAGAAGCUAUGAGAAAAAGAGGGGCACCUGCGUGGCUCAUUGGGAGAUUAAACAUACAGGCAAAGAAAGAUAGAAAUAUAAAGGAGUUGGUAAAACUGGAGUCAGAAAGAAAGAAAUCAGCAAGAGAGUCCAUCAGAGAGAGAUUGAAGAGUCGGAAUGAUCCAAAAUUUGAGCUUGAUCAACAUCAAAAUUAAUCCCCAGGUUUCAGGCCUGCGGCGUAGUACAGUGAAGUCUGAUUGGACGUAGAAGAGGAGGAAGGGUGGCCUCAAGGUUGGAGAGGAGUGAUGAUGAAAGAAGGGAAGGCUCAGCUUCCGCACGCUGAGCUUGAGUUACCUGCGGUCAACCCCAGUCCUGGAGCACAAGGGCUCCUGCAGCCACCAACAGCCACCUGCCAGCACCGUCCACCUCACUUCAUCUCACCACCUAGGCCUCCUGUCAUCUCACAGCAUCACAGAAAGGAGGCCAUAAGGGUGAGGCAUAGGCAGUGGGGACACAGGAAGUUUGAAACAAGUUAUACACAUAAAGAUUUUGACUCCAUUCUGAAGACAAAGAUGACCCACAGAAAGAGGGAAGGCAAGAGAAGGUAUCAUAAUCAGGUCGGAAGUCAGUGGCAGUAAUUUGAGAUGUGUACUUUCAAGCUAUUUUCAAGACUACCCACAAUUUUCCGAAUAUGAGCACAAAACCAUCCUGAUUGGCAUUAGCUUUAUGUCACAGAAUAAUCAUAUAUCCAGCUCUGCUUACCAGCUAUUGUGUCUACUUCAUGCAGCAGUGAAGACCAACAAAAGACAGUUGCCAACAAGUGAUUUCUGAAAUAUACUACAGAAGGAAGAAGAGAUCAUUAUCUCUGAAAACACUUUAAUCAAUAGCCACGAAAUAAUUGGUUUGUCUAAGGCACAUCCUCGUUAUUAAGUAUUCCAAUAUAUGGCUGAUUGAGUGUCAAAAAAAAGUGAGGAAGUGCAAUAUGGACGAUGGAAACUAAGAGAAAAUACAUCAGCAAGGGAAACAAAAGGAAAAACAGACUGUCGGGACUACUUCAAAAUGAAGAGCUUCUAUAAGCAAAGGAAACAACCAGCAAAACUAAAAGACGAUCUACUAAAUGGGAGAAGAUACUUGCGGAUGACAUCUCUGCUAAAGCGUGUACAAUGAAAUCAUUCGACCUUUCUUUACAUCACUCAGUGCUCAAGACAAAUGGACUCAAGCACCUUUAUCUAUUUCACAUCCCCACCCCCACCUACUUCCAGUUUGUCUUCGGUAUUUAAGAGUUUGUGGGUGUUGUUUGUCUUUUUUUGUUUGUUUGUUUUGUUUGUUUCUCAAUUCCCCAUAUGUGUGAUGUCAUAUGGUAUUGUCUUUCUCUGUUGGACUUAAGAAUGGACUCAUACUAUGGUGGCAGGAUAAAUUAGGGAAUCAUUUAAACAGGGAAAUUCAC